CUGAUUACUUACCUGUUAACUUCAUCUUGUCAUGCCACUGAAUUUAAAUUUCGUUUACAUUUUAUUUCUUGAUCUAGCCAUUUAGGUAAUGACCGGGAAGAUGCGGCCUAUACAUGAACAUCAUUUAGGCGGCCAGCAUCAUUCGACUACCCAACCGAGUCUCAACACAGCACGGAGUUUUACACUUUAAAUAUUUGGCUGUUCGCAAUUUGUGAUGGCGUUUCCUUGGACGAGAUAUGAUUUGGCGAGAAAAAUAUUGCGGACGAUUUCAUGCUGUCCUUUACCAUGGACCAAUCUCUCAUUCCAUCUGAGAACUUUGGAUAACUGAUUGGUGGUUUCAUGUGUUUCUAAAUUGACAUGACAGACUUUAUGAGAAGUAAUGUCCUUUCAAGAAAGAAACAAGGUCCCUUGUUUGCUAAUCCAAUAGUUGCUACCCUUGAAUCUCCCCUUUUACUUCCUUAAACGGGCCCUCUUGAUUUGAGGGUAAUCCUUUGCUACUUAUUGUGGACUUCAACCAUUGCCUGGAAGCCUGUAAACCAACCUUGAGAGCAUGCUGUCAUUCAAGACUGUUUAAUUGUGUAGUUAGCUAAAUUGCAAGUGCAUAUCUGGGCUCCCUUCUUUUCUGUGGCCCCGUUUCCCUAACUAACCACUAACCAACGCCCGCCGGUGGUCACUCACCCGCUGUGAAACCAGGAGGA